rnacentral:misc_RNA from 1 species
GAUGAAGAACGCAGCGAAAUGCGAUAAGUAAUGUGAAUUGCAGAAUUCAGUGAAUCAUCGAAUCUUUGAACGCACAUUGCGCCCGCCAGUAUUCUGGCGGGCAUGCCUGUUCGAGCGUCAUUUCAACCAUCAAGCCCUGCUUGCGUUGGGGUCCUGCGGCUGCCGCAGGCCCUGAAAACCAGUGGCGGGCUCGCUAGUCACACCGAGCGCAGUAAUACAUCUCGCUUUGGGCGUGCGGCGGGUUCUUGCCGUUAAACACCCCCUUUUUACCAAGGUUGACCUCGGAUCAGGUAGGAAUACCCGCUGAACUUAAGCAUAUCAAUAAGCGGAGGA